CAGGCCUAACACAUGCAAGUCGAGCGGGUAGCAAUACCAGCGGCAAACGGGUGCGUAACGCGUAAGCAACCUGCCCACUACUGGGGGAUAGCCUUGCGAAAGCGGGGGUAAACCCGCAUGGUCCUUUUCUUUCACCUGGGAGGAUAGGUAAACAUUUAUGGGUAGUGGAGGGGCUUGCGUCUGAUUAGCUAGUUGGCGGGGUAAGGGCCCACCAAGGCGACGAUCAGUAGGGGUUCUGAGAGGAUUGGCCCCCACAUGGGUACUGAGACACGGACCCAACUCCUACGGGAGGCAGCAGUAGGGAAUAUUGGGCAAUGGAGGCAACUCUGACCCAGCCAUGCCGCGUGCAGGAUGAAGGCGCUCAGCGUUGUAAACUGCUUUUAACUGGGAAGAACGGCAGGGGUGUGCCCCUGUGUGACGGUACCAGUGGAAUAAGCACCGGCUAACUCCGUGCCAGCAGCCGCGGUAA
rnacentral:rRNA from 1 species